rfam:Schistosoma mansoni strain Puerto Rico chromosome 2, complete genome
AUCCGGCUAACGAGUCCCAAAUAGGACGAAACGCGCUUCAAGCUGGAU